rnacentral:rRNA from 1 species
CACCUCUAGCAUAACAAGUAUUAGAGGCACUGCCUGCCCAGUGACACUAGUUAAACGGCCGCGGUAUCCUGACCGUGCAAAGGUAGCAUAAUCAUUUGUUCUUUAAUUAAGGACUUGUAUGAAUGGCCCCACGAGGGUUUGACUGUCUCUUACUUCAAAUCAGUGAAAUUGACCUUCCCGUGAAGAGGCGGGAAUAACCAAAUAAGACGAGAAGACCCUAUGGAGCUUAAAUUUCACUACUUACCCAACAAAAACACAUACCUACGGGAAUAAACACAUUGCACUAAGUAGUAAAUUUCGGUUGGGGUGACCUCGGAGCAGAGCACAACCUCCGAGUGGUUUUAACCAAGACUAACCUGUCAAAGUUAUUCCAUUUAUUGAUCCAAUAAUAUUGAUCAACGGAACAAGUUACCCUAGGGAUAACAGCGCCAUCCUAUUUAAGAGUUCAUAUCGACAAUAGGGUUUACGACCUCGAUGUUGGAUCAGGACACCCAAAUGGUGCAGAAGCUAUUAAC